UACGUAGGGUGCGAGCGUUAAUCGGAAUCACUGGGCGUAAAGGGUGCGUAGGCGGGUCUUUAAGUCAGGGGUGAAAUCCUGGAGCUCAACUCCAGAACUGCCCUUUGAUACUGAGGAUCUUGAGUUCGGGAGAGGUGAGUGGAACUGCGAGUGUAGAGGUGAAAUUCGUAGAUAUUCGCAAGAACACCAGUGGCGAAGGCGGCUCACUGGCCCGAUACUGACGCUGAGGCACGAAAGCGUGGGGAGCAAACAGGG
rnacentral:rRNA from 1 species